UUUGUGCAAAGGUAAGCAUAAUCAUUUGUUCAGUAAUUCUGAAAUGGGACGAACGAUACCAUUAAUCUAAUACUGUUUAUAUUGAGAACAUAAAAUUUUUUAUUUUUGGNAAAAAGGGAAANUCCCCNGGGAAGGCCAGGAGGCCCNNGUAAUUUUUCCCUUUCCCUGUUUUAGUGCAAUUAGGAUAUGUUCAACUGGGGAAGUUAUAUAAAAAUAAACAUAAAAAAAUGUAAACCUAACAUUUGAAAUAACCAGAAUUUUUGGAAAUAAAACAAGAUACUACAGGGAUAACAGCACAAUUCAUUAAAAGAGUCCUUAUCAAAUAACGAUCUUAUGACCUCGACGGGAAUUAAGAAAACAUUUAAUGAAAAGAUAAAAAAUUAGUCGU
rnacentral:rRNA from 1 species